GGCCUGAUGGUCUAGUCGCAUGAUUCCUGCUUUGGGACCAUAUCGGUUAAAACUGCAGGAGGUCCCGGGUUCAAUUCCCGGUCAGGCCC